rnacentral:rRNA from 1 species
UACGAAGGGGGCUAGCGUUGCUCGGAAUCACUGGGCGUAAAGCGCACGUAGGCGGAUUGUUAAGUCAGGGGUGAAAUCCUGGAGCUCAACUCCAGAACUGCCUUUGAUACUGGGAGUCUUGAGUUCGGGAGAGAUGAGUGGAACUGCGAGUGUAGAGGUGAAAUUCGUAGAUAUUCGCAAGAACACCAGUGGCGAAGGCGGCUCACUGGCCCGAUACUGACGCUGAGGUGCGAAAGCGUGGGGAGCAAACAGG